rnacentral:lncRNA from 1 species
AAGUAUAUAUAUAUAUUUUUUUUUUUUUCUUCCUUCUCAGAUAUAUGAUGAUUCUUAUAAUAUGGGCAUAUAUUUAACAAAUGAAAUACAUAAUUUAUUAUUAGGUUAAGUUAUAUAUAUAUAUAUAUAUAAUGUUUUUUUGCUAAUGUAGUAUCGUUUUAUCAAGUGUUAAUACAUGUAUCAGAAAAUUAGUCAUAUAUAUAUAUAUAUAUAUAUAUGUACCUGUUAACUUUUGCCAAUUAAACAGAACAUAAUUUAUAUUACUAUCAUAAUGAGAAAAGCAAAAACAUAGAGGUAAUGCAUAAAUUAAUUUAAAUAAACAAAGCCCAAUUUUUACAUUUUUUAUUAACAAAUAAAAAUAGUUAACUCUUUUCUAUUUCUUUUCUUUUUUUUAGAAUAAUAAAAAAUUGGAUUUUUAUAAAGAGAAUAUACAAGGAAUCAUUGUAAUAACUUAUAUAUAUAUAUAUAUAUAUAUAUAUAUAUAUAUAUAUAUAUAUAUGUAUAUGAUGAGAAAAAAAAAAAAUACUAUACUUUAACAUAUUAACACAAACAUAUGUGCAUAUAUAUAAAAAUUCAGCUGACUUAGUCGGUAUAAUUAAGUCUUUAUUUUUAUUUCAUUUUAUUAUUUUUUUUACUCUAUCUUUUUAACACAUUUUUUGAAUUUUUGUAAUAUACAGAUACGACUAACAAAUGAAUUAAUUAAAAAUAGGACAUACGUUAAGUUAUCGUCUAAGAGUUUGAGUUUGUUCGCAUGGGCAUACAUUUAUUUUGACAUAAAACAGAUAAUCGCAAAAUCUGAUAACAGAUUAGUUGAAGUUGAACAUUGUAACACUUGGUUAGACAUAAUAAAACUGGCAUGUUUGUACAACCAGAUAUCCGAAUGUCACACAAGCCCAUUUUCAGUAGAAUUUAAAGAUGUUCUUAGAAAUAUGAAGGAUGAUGAAAAUGCAGUUAAGGUUUGAAUGAAAAUAAAAAAAAAAAAAAAAAAAAAAUGUAUAUUACA